rnacentral:lncRNA from 1 species
AAUAUGUUGGGGGUGGGGAGGCGACAUACCAUAAAGCAGUGUCUAUUCAGUGGAAACUGUGGCUGGAAGGGGCUGGAGGGCUGUAUCUGCUUUUCCUCAGCAGACAAAACUCCUAUUGAAUCCAUAAGAAGGCAGGGAUUGGUAUCCAAACUUAUGUAUAGCUUGAUUGUCCUCUAAGAGUAAGAGAAAGAUGUAGACAUCUAUGAUUUGAUUUUCUUGUUAUAGAUCAGUGGUUUUCAAUCUUGGCUACAUAUAGAAACCACCUGGGAACUUUCAAAACUCCCAAUGCCCAGGCCGCACUCCAGACCAACUAAAUCACAACCUCCGCGUUUGGGACCCAGGCAUCAAUUGUUAUCAAAGCUUCCCAGGUGAUGCCAAUGUGCGGACAAGUUUGAGAACCACUGGACCAUCGCAGGAAAUUCUGUUUACAGACAUGGAAACACCUACCGACUUGCUGACAUCUGUGGCGUUUGAUUUCAUCCCAGUUUAUCAUGCUAUUUUUGGCCACUACUGUAUAUUUACAAAAUUUUGUAAGUUCAUCAUCAUCACCAUCAUAUCAUUAUGGUUAUCAUCUCUUAUGCCCUUAGAAGAAAAAUGAUGGUAAACAAUUAAACUAAAUAAACAACCUGUAAUAAGAGGCUAAAAUGGAAAAUGGAUUAAAUGUACCAGCACUGUUGAAUCAGAGACUGAGAGUGGGGCCCAGAAAUCUGUGUUUUAACAAGCUCUCCAGGUGAUUCUGACGCAUGGCCAAGUUUGAGGCUAUAAAUAUUUCUCCAAAUAUUGAUUUAUAGCAUCCCAUAGGAAUUGCUGUGUUUUCACUCACUUAAAAUAAUAUGUACUUUCAAUUUUGAUUUACCUCUUAGUUUAAAGGUAAUAUAGAGGAAUGUUUUAAAAUUCCAAGUUGGUUGAUUUUUUGUUGCUAAUUUCCAGGUUUUUUGCAUUUAGAUAAUAUAGGAUAGAUGAUUUUUAGUUUUUGGAUUCAAGUGAAAAUUUCUUUGAGUCCCAGACCAAUUUUACAAUGUUUCAUGGGUUUUGGAAAAGAAUGCAUAUCAUUUUGAGUACAUGUGUUUGUAUCUAUUCAGUCAGGCUUGUUAAUUCAGUUAUUUAUUGCAUGCUCGAUCUGCUAGUUUCUGAUUAUAGAGGCGUGAAAGACUCCGCUCUGUGGUUUGCCAAUUGUUCUUCACGUUUCCAACAUUUUUGUUUCGUAUCUUUCAAAACUAUGCCCUUGCAUAAAAACUCAUGAGUAUUAUACCUUCUUGAUAAUUUUAUUAGUAUACAUAGUAUUUUGUUAGCUUAUAUCAUUCCCAGUUAAUGUUAUUUUUGCC